rfam:Elusimicrobia bacterium RIFOXYA2_FTLL_40_6 rifoxya2_full_scaffold_4371, whole genome shotgun sequence.
GAAGUAAUUUUGGGGUGGUGCCUGCUAAAAGAGCGCCUGAGAGAUACCCAUAUAACCUGAUCUGGAUAAUGCCAGCGGAGGGAGGAUAAAAAAUUUUUUA